rnacentral:rRNA from 1 species
AACGAACGCUGGCGGCACAUUUUAAGCAUGCAAGUCGAACGGCAGUGGGGGCAACCCCAUGAGAGUGGCGAACGGGUGAGUAACACGUAGGUGAUCUGCCUUUGGGUUGGGGAUAGCCUGUGGAAACACAGGGUAAUACCGAAUGAGCUGACGGGGCUUUGGCCAAGUUAGUAAAGGUGCUACGGCACCGCCUAGAGAGGAGCCUGCGGCUGAUUAGCUAGUUGGUGGGGUAAAGGCCUACCAAGGCGACGAUCAGUAGCCGGCCUGGGAGGGUGUACGGCCACACUGGAACUGAGACACGGUCCAGACUCCUACGGGAGGCAGCAGCUAAGAAUCUUCCGCAAUGGGCGAAAGCCUGACGGAGCGAUGCCGCGUGAUCGAUGAAGGUCGAGAGAUUGUAAAGAUCUUUUCCAACUGAGGAAUAAGGGUCGGAGGGAAUGCCGAUCUGAUGACGUUAAGUUGGGAAUAAGCCCCGGCUAAUUACGUGCCAGCCGCCGCGGUAACAC